rnacentral:rRNA from 1 species
AUACGGGGGAUGCAAGCGUUAUUCGGAAUCAUUGGGCGUAAAGGGCACGCAGGCGGUUCUGUCAGUCAGAUGUGAAAGCCCGGGGCUUAACCCCGGACGUGCAUUUGAAACAGCAGGACUUGAGUAUGGUAGAGGAAAGCGGAAUUCCUGGUGUAGAGGUGAAAUUCGUAGAUAUCAGGGGGAACACCGGUGGCGAAGGCGGCUUUCUGGACCAAAACUGACGCUGGGGUGCGAAGGCGUGGGUAGCGAACAGGAUUAGAAACCCUGGUAGUCC